AACGAACGCUGGCGGCAUGCCUAACACAUGCAAGUCGAACGAGACCUUCGGGUCUAGUGGCGCACGGGUGCGUAACGCGUGGGAACCUGCCUUUAGGUUCGGAAUAACUCAGAGAAAUUUGAGCUAAUACCGGAUGAUGUCUUCGGACCAAAGAUUUAUCGCCUUUAGAUGGGCCCGCGUAAGAUUAGCUAGUUGGUGGGGUAAAGGCCUACCAAGGCGACGAUCUUUAGCUGGUCUGAGAGGAUGAUCAGCCACACUGGGACUGAGACACGG
rnacentral:rRNA from 1 species